rnacentral:rRNA from 1 species
UACGAAGGGGGCUAGCGUUGCUCGGAAUCACUGGGCGUAAAGCGCACGUAGGCGGACUCUUAAGUCGGUGGUGAAAUCCUGGAGCUCAACUCCAGAACUGCCUCCGAUACUGCGAGUCUCCGAGUCCGGGAGAGGUGAGUGGAACUGCGAGUGUAGAGGUGAAAUUCGUAGAUAUUCGCAAGAACACCGGUGGCGAAGGCGGCAUCCUGGACCGACACUGACGCUGAGGAGCGAAAGCCAGGGGAGCAAACGGG